CGCGUAGGCGGACAUUUAAGUCAGGGGUGAAAUCCCAGAGCUCAACUCUGGAACUGCCUUUGAUACUGGGUGUCUUGGGUGUGAGAGAGGUAUGUGGAACUCCGAGUGUAGAGGUGAAAUUCGUAGAUAUUCGGAAGAACACCAGUGGCGAAGGCGACAUACUGGCUCAUUACUGACGCUGAGGCGCGAAAGCGUGGGGAGCAAACA
rnacentral:rRNA from 1 species